UACGUAGGGGGCAAGCGUUGUCCGGAAUCAUUGGGCGUAAAGCGCGUGUAGGCGGCCAGAAAAGUCCGCUGUGAAAACUCGAGGCUCAACUUCGAGCUGUCGGUGGAAACUUUCUGGCUAGAGUCCGGAAGAGGAGAAUGGAAUUCCGAGUGUAGAGGUGAAAUUCGUAGAUAUUCGGAAGAACACCAGUGGCGAAGGCGACUCGCUGGACAAGUAUUGACGCUGAGGUGCGAAAGCGUGGGGAGCAAACAGG
rnacentral:rRNA from 1 species